GGCUGGCCUCAAACACCAGGAGGGCUCCAGGGAGAGAUCUCAGCACCCGGCGUCUCGUCUUCCCUGCUGGUGGUCCCUCUGGAGCAGAGGUUGGGGAGAGUUUUCUGCCAAAGGCUAUGUCAUAACUGAAUAGGCUUUUGGGGGUCAUAAAGUUUCUGUUACAUGUUCUUUUUCGUAAAAGAGGCAAAAAUCAUCUUUAGCUCGAAGGACCUAUGAAGUCAGGUGGCUACCGGAUUUGGUGCCUGGAGUCAUCCAACCCCUGGGAUGGAGCAUGCUUCUCAGAUGGACCGUGGGGUCCAAAGCAGUCUGCAUUUCUCACAGCUUCCCAGGUGGAGUCUGGGCUACCUGUGCACAUGUCCCAUUUUGAGUGGGGAGGGUCUUGGCCACUGGGGAGGGUGCGGCUGCUGUUGGCAAGCCAUCCAGGCCCCGCUGGGAUGCAGCCCUUGCUUGUAGGAUGCCUGGGAGUGCCGCACUGUGGUCUGCAUGUGCUGGCCCUCCUUCAGGGAAGGCUUCUCUGCCCAGCUUCAGGGAGGGCAGUUAGCAGGUGGCCCCGGGGGGAUUUCACUGCAGAGAGCCCCCCAGGUGGAGGUCAUGCCCUCCCCAGGGCAGCCGACACCUGGUGACUGAGCCAGAUGGAAGUGUUAGGUCUGGGCUGCUCCAGCUGGACAACUCCCUAUGGGGCUGGCUGAGGCUUUGUCAGUUAUGCACUGCAAUUCGAUUCUCCCUCCUGAUCCUACUUCCUCCCCGAUUCCUUCCCUGGUGUAGAUCCUUAGUAAAGAUCCAGCAUCCCAAACACCCUCUGAGUCUUCUCCGAAAGAACACAACCUGUGACACAGGUGGGCAUCUAGGCAAAGGGCAGUGGUGACCACAGGGACAGCAUUUGGUACAAGCUGGUCUCACUCAGGGGCAGCAGUAAGUAAAGAUAAAGUCACUAAGGCAACCAAGGAUGUCCAGGGCAGGGGUCUAAGGCCUCCUAGGGGGAGGAAGCUGGGCAAGGGAAGAGGAAGCACAGUGGGGCAGGGAUUGGGUAUCUUGGUCUGGCCCUGGCCUUGAGGCUAACAUGCUGUGUGGCUUUGGGUGAGUUGCUACUGUUUUCUGAGUCUUUCCUUGCGAGUAAAAUAGGCUAGAAUCUAUGACCCUGGGUGUAUUAGUUUCCUAGGGCUGCUAUAGCAAAUCACCACAAACUUGGGGGCUUAAAACAACAGAAAGCUUUUCUCUCCUAGCUCUGGAGGCCAGAAAUCCCAAAUGAGUACUACUGGGCCAAGAUGAAGGAGUCAGCAGGGCCUCACUCCCUCUGCAGGCUCCAAGGGAGAAUCUGUUCCUUGUUUCUUAUAGCUUUUGGUGGCUGCCAACAUCCCUUGGCUUAUGGCCCCAUCACUCUGGUCUUCAAUGCCAGCACCUUCAAAUCUCUCUCUUGUGUCUUCAUAUUACCUUCUCCUCUGUGUUUGUGUAUCAAAUCUCCCCCUGUCUCUCUUUUUAAAAAAAUCUCAUUUAUUUUUGGCUGCACUUGGUCUCUGUUGCUGUGUGAGAACUUUCUCUAGUUGCAGUGAGUGGGGGCUACUCUUAGUUGCGGUGCAUGGGCAUCUCAUUGCAGUGGCUUCUCUCAUUGCAGAACAUGGACUUUAGGGUGCUCAGACUCAGUAGCAGUGGUGCACUGGUUUGGUUGCCUUAUGGCAUGUUCGAACCAGGGAUCGAACCUGUGUCCCUGCUUUGGCAAGUGGAUUCUUAAUCACUGGACCACCAGGGAAGUCCUGCCUGUUCUUUAAAAACACACUUGUGAUUGCAUUGAAGACCCAUCGGAUAAUCCAUGGUAAUCUCCUCGAAGUUCUUAAUCAUACCUCCGACUAUCCUUUUUUUUCAAAUAAGGUCACUUUUAUACAGAGUUUAGGGGUUAGGACUUGAUCUCUUUGGGGCCCAUAUUCAGCCCUUUGCACCUGCCACUUGUCCUUGUGUAGGCUUUGACUCGAGGUCUCCCUUUCUGAGCUGCAGUUCUUUUUUUUUUAAUGAUUAUUUUAUUUGUUUAGGCUAUGGUGGGUCUUUGUUGCCGUGUGUGGGCUUUCCCUAGUUUCAGGGAGUGGGUGCUUCUCUUCAUUGCAAUGUGCGGGCUUUGCGUUGCAGUGGCUUCUCUUGUUGCAGAGCAGAGGCUGUAGGCAUGAGGGCUCUGGUAGUUGUGGCAUGGAGAGUGCCCUUGGGCACGUGGGAUCUUCUUGGACCAGGGAUUGAACCUGUGUCCCCUGCAUUGAUAGGUGGAUUCUUAACCACUGUGCCACCAGGAGAGUCCUGAGCUGCAGUUCUAGGUGACUGGUCUAUACCAUUUGCUGUCACAGCGAUGGUCUCGUUCUGCCAAAAAUUAUCUUCGACAAGUAUGGAUAAGCUGUUCUGCUCACAUCAGUAAUUUCAUUGGCAAUCACCCCCUCCACAAAUACUAUUUACUGAGCACAGACUAUACGCAUAUUUGCAUAUUAUCACUGACUACCACCCGAGGAAGUGAGUUCAUUAUGAUCUCCACCGUGCAGAUAAGGACACCAGGGAUGGAGAAAUUCAGGAAUUCGCCCAGGUUCACAGAGUGGAUCUGGGAUUCCCCUUUAGCUUGUCUAACUUAAAGGCUGUCUCAUCUCCUACCGUAUAUCUCCUCCCAGGCAUAAAUAGUGCUUCUCUUUGAAACUAUUUACAAAGUGUGGUCCCUUUUGAACUUUGAAUCUAGUCUCUUAUCAGAUCCUACAAACUGCAGACAUAACACAGGAAGCGUUGUUCGAGAAAGCUGAAAGUCCAGUUAUGAGAGCCCAGGAAUGAAGCUCGUUUGGGCUGUGCUUUUGUGAGGUCUGCCAUGAAGCAGAGCCCAGGCGGAGGCUGGGGAGGGGGUUGUCCCAGACUCCCAUCUCAGCUGCGCUUUUAUUAUUCUUCCAACUGAACUGUCUGGGACUUUGAAUAUCAGCCCUUGUUCCUGAUGAAUCCAUGGGUUGAACUUCUUGAUUACGUUAUUUAUUCAGCAGCCAAUGGGUCACUGCACACUGCUAGACAUUGAUGCUCAUAAUGACCCUUUCUCCUGACUUUCAUUUCAAGCCCCAGAAAAGCUCUCGACAUAAAAAAAGUUGUGUGAGCCUAUGGAAGGAAACCACCAUGGAAGGAUGUUUACAAAUGAUUCUCUUGUAUGUGAGGGUUUCCCAAAGUCCAGAAUAGGAAGGAGGACUUGAGAACGUUUCUGUCAAAAGGGAAUUGGAUUUAAAAACCCAGCAUGCAAGCCAACCUUAAGGUAAAAGUGUAUUCAGCUGGCCCAAGCACAUCUUAUUCCUCUGGACAGAAAGAUGGGUGGAAACAAAUUGUCUAGAAGCAAGGAGCCUUUGCCCAGCUACUGCCAAGAUGGAAUGGGCAGAAGGCAGGAGGGAGCACUGCUGGGCAGGUGGGGCUGGCCACGAGUGUCUCUGCAGACCAUACAGAGAGCAAGAACUUAAUUUUCAAGGCCACUGGGUAGCUCUGCAAGAUUUUAAGCAGAAAAGCCACUUGUUUAUGUUCUUUAGAAAUAUUUUAUUGGCUGUGGUAAUAAUAGACCUAGCAUGGGGGUGAGGAGGGCAUGGACUCUUGUCAAUAAAGGGAUAAGAUUGGAUUGGAAUGAGUCAAAUCCAGCCAGCGGUGGCCAGGGAGAGUGCUGGGGGGGAGGAUGCCUGCAUACCCUGGGUGGAUGCUGGGAGCUGCCAUGGAGCCAUAGAGAUGCAGCUGACCAGCAGGACGGCACAUGAGGGACCAGAGUGAGAAGGUUUUACUAAGAGAGGAGUCUUGGGGAGGGAGCAGGUUUUUCCUGGUAAGUGCUGGAAAGUGCAAGCUCCCCUCCAUCAUGUGACAGAAUGCUGAAGACAGCAUCUGCGCAGGGACACAUAUUGAGAAAGUGGCAGCAGCCAGGUGCCAAUGGGAGAACCUGUAGAAGCCAGCAGUCUCAGUCCAGUUCUGCCCUGUCUCCACACGGACUUCUGGCAAGGCCCAUUUCCCCCCAAGUUUCCUCAUCUGUAGAAUACAAGAGUUGGAUCAUCUCGGGGCUUCCUUGAUGGUGGGGGAGGGGAGCACCUCUGAGUCUCUGGAAUCAGUGAGCACACCUAGAUACAUGGGUCUGUUCAUCAAGGGGUCAGCAGAGUCACCUGAGAAAGAAGUGACAUCUGACCUCUCAGGCCACGCCCAUAGCUGGAGCCCAGCUGGUUAGCACUGCUCUUGAAAUAUGUCAGGGGUGAGCCUCAUCUAACCCAACCAGUUUCUGGAAGGUUGAGGCUGGCCACAGGUGUCACACAUGUCCCUCCUUGGUGGGUGUGUCUUGAUGUCCCCCAGGGGCCUCCCCAUACCUCCAGAGUCACCUGUGAGGAGCACCGAGGCUCCUCCCUGCGCCUGAAGGUUCUGGAAGAACCUCCUACCUCCCUGGUUAGCCAGGGCAUGGGGCUCCAUGCCCUUGCUCUCAGUUUACCCUGCGAACUCUUGCUCAUCCUUCAGAGUCCUCAGGCCCUCCUCCAGGAUGCCCCACUCAGCCCUGAUUUCUCACUGAAACAGGAUCCUGUAGGCAAGGUGUCCACACCUCUUUUUGGCCUGUUUUACACUUGUCUGGGAUAUAGGCACCCUCCUCCACCUCUGUCCCAUGAGACUUUCUGGCAGAACUUUUGCCCCUCGGGGUCACCAAGUGCCACCCCCAGUGGUUGGCACUUAUUUAGGGCUCAACCAAGUUAUCUUCUGUGGCCACCCUUAUUUGUGGAAUGAUCUUCCUGUUUGUGACCUCUGGCUCCUCGCUGGGUCAAGCAUGUGUGUUCAGGUGGGAGGUAUGGGGGAUGGGUGUCUGCCCACUCCCCUGGGGGUUGCUGGGGGGACAGCAGCACAAACGCCGACAGAGCUUGGCACCAUUUGCAAAGUGCCUUGUACGCCCCUUCCCACAGGCUCCCAGAAAGACGAAUGUGAAACGAGAGCCAUCGAAGAUUGCACAAAGCCUGUUGGACUCGUGCACGGAAUAGAAAGAAAUAACCGUGUCUGGAGCACUUUGGAGCAGGCCCCCUGCCAGCUAGCCCCUUGAGAGAGAAGGUUGUGUGUGUUGUGUUGUGUAACCCUGGCCGGCAGGAGCAGUUGUGCCCAUUUUACAGAUGUGGGGAGAGGAUGUGAAAGCUGCCAGCCUCGCUCAAGGUCACAGCCUUGCUCAAGGUCGCAGCGCAGCUCUCUCCGGCUGGCCGCCUCCUGGGAGAUGCAGUGGCUAGCUCAGAGACUUGGUAACAAGACACCACUCCGGCUGGGCCUGCCAGAGAAGCCGGCAGGUCUUUUAUCUGCCAUCUCCGCCUCCCAACCUGUACCGUCGGGAUGUACCUUCUGCCCACGGGGGCUCUCCAAACCAUCUAAGGAGGACGAUCCCCCUGAGCUCUUUGCACACUUGGCUAAUCCUUGUUAGGCAUUGGCCAGUCAGGGGAGGAGCCUCUUGGUGGGAAAUGGAACUCAGCAGAGGACCCAACCCCCAGCAGGCACUGGGAGAAGACCCCCACGUGGUUCAUUGAGCAGGAUGUGGAACUAGCCAACCAUGGGGGCAAAUUGCUUGCCCUCAGGCAGACGCUCUGCACACCUACUGUGCACCGCCAUUAUCAGGAGAUGUGCAGCCCGAAGAUGAACCAGAAGCUCAGGAUCCAGCGGGGGAGAUGACAGAACAGAAAGCAGCAUGUUGAGCACUUGAAGAGCAUUAUUCUCAAGAUGCUACAGAAGACGUGCGGUGGGAGAAAGUCAUCCUGUUGAGGAUGGGCUCUGCCUGCUGACAUCAAGUCAAUUACAGCAUCCUUCUGAGAGGCCGGCAAAGAAAACAAAGGCUCUCAAAGAGGAAAGAAAGACCCCCAGUCAGCACUUGGGCUGUGGAAGCUUCAGGAAUAACACUCAAAAGUGUGGGAGCCAGCCUAGACUGGAAUCCCAGUUCUACUUCACAAGCUGUGUGACCCUGGACAGUGUACGUAACCUCUCAGUUUUGUUAUCUAUAAAGACCUCUUUGGUUGGUCCUGGGGAUUAGCUAAAAUGACAGAAAUGAAAGCACUUUGGAGGAACAAAAAAUGGAAUCCACUGAAGCCUUCAGCUGUGCUGUGUUGUAAAUGAAAGCUGCUUAACCAAGAGUGGCAUAUGGAAUCUCAGACAUGCAUCUGAGUCUCAGCUGUUUACUGUGUGACCCUCAGAUACUCACUCAACCUCUCGGAGCCUUGGUGUCAUCUGUAAGAGGCAAGUGUUUACGGUAUUUUCCCUAGAAGGUUAAUGGAAGGAAAAUCAGGAAAGAGCCUGUGCAAAGUGCCAGCCUCUCAAUAGGCCUCAAAAAGUUACGCUUCACCUAUUCCCCAGGCGUCCCUGUUGCAGAGCCAGGGGCGCACGACCAUUAUCCACAGGUGUGUGUGUGGCUCUGCCACCCUGGGGGCCGGGCCAGGCUGCGGGGCACGGCCAAGCCCUGGAUGACCCACAGCAGCCUACCCACCCAGUGGUUAGCUCAGGAAAGCCUCAAAUUAUACAAUUUAUGAAACCCAAUCCAGUUUUCCGACUGGAACGUGUGAUUAGAGAGAUUACACAUUCACUGUUGCAAUUAUGGUAAUGUUGAUGUGUGGACAGAUAACUGGCAGCGGGGCUGUUCUGAACCGUCUAUUUAUAGGUUGAAGAUUCUUGCUAUCUCAAGGCAGACAUAUGGGCCAUAAAGGCAGGCGACAAAAACAGGAGGGGAGAGCAAAGCUCCCUCGAAAUGAAAAGACACGAAAGGAAGCGGUAAUUAGGGCUGGGACCGGCUUAUGUAAAUCAGGUAAUACUUUCAAAACAGAGAUGAGAUCUGGUUUUAAUAAAGCGCAUUGGAACAAAUGGUGGAAUAAUGACUUAAUAAAUCUAAAUACAAAUAUUUUGUUCCGUCUCCAAAAUGAACAGCCCUGGCAUCUGCCGAGCCCGGGCCGGGCGAGGGGGCGGUGCUGUAGUGUUACUGUAUUCUUUCACUCCCUCAGCAGGCUCGAAGAUUUUAAUUUUUAGCCUUCUGCUAAAUUACACGGGCUGUCAGUCAACUGUGGGAGAUAUUUUGAGUAGGGAGAUUUAUACAAACACACAGAGCACACUCGGAAGGCUCAGCACAAUAUCUUUUACACCGGCUGGGAUGUAAAUCAUAGGUUGUUCAGAGCCCGAAUUACAGCUCUUUCGGAAAUAGACUGCGGAGAAAUUAUUCACCAGGAGGAAUUCAGCGGCUUUUUUUUCAGUGCCCCUCCUCGACCCUCAUCUUAAUCAGAGAAGCUCUCUACUGGUCCUUUUUGGUGCUUUUUCCAUCACCGCCCAUCCCAACUCUGGUAUCUAGAGCAGAAAUUGCAAACUCAUGACCCAUGGA